CUCCCCUGCCUCAGCCCGCGCCGCCCCCGCCCUGGAGCGCUCCCUCCUUCUGUGGGGGUCGCUUGGAGGGACCACCAUCUCUCCGGCUGGAGCGCAGCUCCGCCCCGCACCCGCUUUGCUUGGGGGUCCUCCCACCUAAACUCUCCCUGGCUUCUUCUCAGUCUCCAUCCCUCGAGACGGCCGCCUGUCCCUGCUCCCCAUGUGUCCCCGGCCCUCUCCGCAGCCCCCGGGCCUCAGCUCCUUACCCGGCUUCGGGUAACGAGCUGCACCACUCUUUGGCCCGGGCGAGGGCCAUGGUGGGUGGGUGGGCUCCGGGGGCCGGGAAGAAGGGCGGAGCGCUGUGCCGGGCCGGGGACGAGGCCGGGUGACGGCGGCGACGCCGAGUCUGCAGUGUGUGAGCCAGAAGUGAGCGCACAGCGCCCGGCGAGCAGGUGCCUGUGGCGCGGAGAGCGCACCAGCGAGCAGCGAGCAGCGGCCGUCUGCAGUCCCUGAUGAAUAAUGAGCUCUGAGCAAAGUAAACUUGGCACUAUGUCAGUGGUCUCCACAUAGCUCCCCUCAGAUCAAAUAUUAAAAAUAGAAGAUGGAGAAAAGGAGCAACCGUCCCCUGUGGUAUCAGUUCCAUAAAUAUUGCUUCAUUAAGCUGUCUGCAUCAGCUCAAAGAGAUGGAUUUUCAAGCGUGGCCAAGGUUCCAGACUGCUUGUUGCAAUGAAGCAGAAGACUCCGUCUGGGCUGCCAGUGUCACCUCGCCUCCCUGUGCUGUGUCUGCCACUGUGGUGAGGGGCCAUCAGUUAACAGCCAGAGCUGACCUGACAUCUGCCCAAAGGACAUGUGUUUAUUUAUUUGGAGUGAAGCCGCUCCCAUCGGUGUACUAGUGGCUUCCAUCCCAGCCAAACAGCAGGGAAUUAAUAAUGAUGGCAUUUGACUUUCUUAAGACCUUCCUUUGGUAAAACCUGCAUUCAUCCUACUGGCAUCUCUCUGAUGUGGGGGACAGGAUGUGGCAAACAGAGGCUUUCCUGCCAUCUCAGGUCCAUGGUUUAUGAGGAGGACUGGAGGUGCCAGUUUUGAUAGAGUGGUACAUAAAGGGACUGAGUAGCUCCUGACUCUUUGAAGCGAGUCAGAAAUACAUUUGGACUAUUGAGCUAGUUCUCAAUUUAAGGUCACAAAUAUUUACCAUUGGGCCCCAGGAUCCAUGCUAAAGAAGAAGAAGAGCUGCUCAAAAAACAAUGGUCAGAAGUAGUCCUUUGAUUAGGAGCAAGAAGCAUCGCCUUGGUUCAGGCAUAGUCCUGCCAACAAGUGUAAGCAUGCUGAAUUUCUACAAGAAUGUGUAGAUUUUAUGUCAGGGAUCCAGGAUUAGUCAACUGUCAAAGAUGCAGAGCUGAAACAUGGAAGUCCGGCAUGGUGACACGUGUCUCUAGCCCCAGCAUUCCAAAGAAUCGCAAGCUUGAGCCCAGCCUGGGAAACUUAGUGACUUUGUGAGACCCUAUCUCAAAAAAAAAAAGAAAAAAGAGGGGCCUGGAAUUGUAGCUCAGUUGAAGGCUCUGGGUUCAAUCCCCGGUGUCACAAACAAACAAAUAAAAAACCAAGAAAAUAUAGGAAGAGCUUGUCCCAGGGGUUCACUCCAGGUCCUGUUCUUCCGCACAGUGGACUCCUGCUGGAUGUGGUGUUGCUAUCUGACUGGACACUCAAGCUGUUUAGUGGGAGAUCUCUCAUCCUCAGUGGCAGCAUGGACCCCAGUGCCAAGGAACUCCCAGAAGACAAAGUUACACGUAAUCAACUUCAGCCCCAAACAGACCAAAAAGCCCUCAUUCUAGGGACAUAGGCCAUGUCCCCCAAGAGGCGGAAGGAAGGGGAAUGGAAUAUGUUCCAGGAUAAUUCCACUGAAUGCUCCAACUCUGCUGUUUGCCAGGGGGGCUCAGCCUUUGGCUGUGCUUUUCAGGUGCAUCUCAGGGACUCCUCAGGGGCUCAGUGCCUCCUCUCCUGGGGUUUUCUUGUUAGCUUUGCUCAAUUUAAUAUCAAGCUCCUGUUGGCCAGUUAUUGGGGGUAUGAAGACUUAUAGAUGAGCAUUGCUCUUCUUAGGUCUAGUUGAAUAGGGAAGUUGCUUUUUAGUUUUAGUACAAGAAGGUGGCCCCAGGUCAAGUUCCUACUGCUUGUGCUUACAGAGGAGAAAACUUCCUUCCCAGAGCAAGGGGUACUACCCAUGGGGUACUGAGGACUCCAUAGGACCACCUUUCCUACACCGUCUCCCAGUGAGGUCAGACUCCGUGUACCAGUGGCCUUGUCAUCUGUAAUCAAGGAGGGAUUGCCCACUUACCAACCACCUGAAAGACGGUUUCCCUUUCCCUGCUGGGGCUCUGUAGGGUCCUCAGCACAUAAGCAUGUCUCAGAGCAUCACUGGGAGGUGCCCAACAUGAAGGGACAUGUCUAGUUUUACAGUAUGCAUGGAGAGUUUGUCACACAGACCUGUCCAUUAGAUCUAGACCCUUACUAAAAGUAUCCUGGAUAAUAAAUCAUCAUUUCUUAUUAAAUGAAGAGGCAUCCCCUUUCUCAGCAUGGCUGUUCUCUUGUAAUCAUGAUAAAUGGCAAAUCCCGGACAGGUGAAUUUUAAUAGGCAUACAAAUGCACUCAGAUUAAUUAGAUUACAUUUUUAAAAAACUUUUCUCUUUUGCUCCAUAAAUCUAAAUGGGGGCCUCUAAAAGAUAAUAGCUAUCCACACACUAAAAUACAUUAUGACACAAUAAAAGAUUAUUGAUGCACAUAUGCAGUUAGACGUUAUGUUGGACACAGCAGAAUGGCAUACAGAUGUGGUGGGAGCUGUUCUGAAGUGAGCAUUUGCUGGCUGUGGUUAAUGGGACCUCCCUGGCCAAAAAAGUGUGCGGGGUGAGUGGACGGAUGGAACUCAGUGUCUAUUUCUACCUCCGAGCAGAUCUCUGAAGUUGGCAAUAUUUCCCUUUCAAAAGCAAGUGGCUAGAUUAGAGACAUAUUGUGCAAACCCUGGUCGUUAUCUUCUGGCUGAGAAAUAAAAGAUACUGUCUGACGGCCACAGAGAACUGUGGUGUUGGGGGGAGAACAGCGUCAGCAGAUAAGCCUUGAGACUGAGGAGGCCCAGCUGUCACUUCUUUUCCCCCAUUAAGUUUAUUGGUACAUUUUAGGUAUAAAAUAGAGUUACAUUCAUCAUACAUGAGUCUCUUGGUUCUUAUUUGUUUCCCCUUCCCCUGCCCUCCCUUCACCCCCUCCACCCUUCCCUAUUUGCAAUGACUUUAUUUCCAUUUUUUUCUUUUCCCUUCUUUCCUUUCCCCUACCCCUCCCACUUACCCUACUCCUUUAGACCUUUUCUUCCUAUUACAUAAUAGCAAUUAUACAUUUUUAAAAUUACAGUAUCAAGAUCUAGGAGACAUUACCACAGAUUUUACAGAAUUUAAAAGGAUAUAGAAAGCAUAUUACAAAAAUCUUUUUUUUCCCCAUUAAGUUUAUUGGUCCAUUUUAGGUAUAAAAUACAGUUACAUUCAUCAUUGGGAUCUUGUACCAUUACAUGAGUCUCUUGGUUCUCAUUUUUGUCCCCUUCCCUUGCCCUACCUUCACCCCCUCCACCCUUCCCCAUUUGCAAAGACUUUGUUUCCAUUUUUUUCCUCUUCUCAUAUUUUUUCCUUUCCCUUUCUCCCUUCCCCUACCCCUCCCAAUUCCCCUGCUCUUUUAGACCUUUUCUUCCUGUUACACAAUAUCAUUUAUACAUUUUUAAAAUUAUAAUAUUAAGAUCUAGGAGACAUUACCACAGAUUUUUACAGAAUUUAAAAGGGUGUAGAAAGCAUAUUACAAAAAUCUGUUUUGAAAUAAAUUUGACAACUUCUAAGAAGUACCUUGGAAGACAAACUAAUGAAACUAACUCUGGAGGAAAUAUAAAAUUUGAAUAACACCUAUUAAAGAAAGUAUUUUCCUAGCUUGAAAACCUACCUAUAUGACAACAGCAGGCUCAUAUACAUUUUAACUAAUAAAUUAUAUUAAACAUUUAAAGCAGAGAAAAGAAGGAACACUUUUCCUCUCACUUUAGGAAAUCAACAUUGUGCUAAUCCUAAAACUGGAUAAAGAUAAUAGAAGAAAAAAGUAUGAACAUAGAUAGAAAUUUGUUUAACAAAACAAACUAUUAGAAGUCAGACCUGGCAGGAUGUAGAAAGUGGUUUUAUUAUAGGGAUGGCAGUGUUGGUUCAGCACUGGAAGGUCCACCCCCAAAAGUCAUCAUUUUAACAGGAAAGGAGAAAGCCAAAUGAUCCUGUCACUAGUUAGAGAAAAAGUAUUGGACUAAAUUCUACAGCUGUUUAUGGUAAAACCAGCUGUCACUUUUAAAUCUCACCUUCUUUCUCUACAUCUGACCCCCAGUGUUGUGAUUUCCAAGUCGAGAAAAGAAAUGUUCCACCAUGAAGGAAACAUACAAUGACCUUUAUGAAACGUUUAGCAUUUAGAAAUGGCUAAAAGGCAGACAAAGACAGUGGGGAAGGAGAAGAAUAAUUAAGAGCUCAAUUUAUCAUGAUCACAACCCGUGAUAGUCAACAGUGUGUGAGCAUUGUAUGGAGUCGACAGCAUCUCAGUGGAUCUUCAGCCACCCUGUGAGACAGGCAUUGCUACGAAGAUGGAAAUGAACUAGGAAAAUGAGGUUCAGGGAGGAGGAUCCAUUUGGUAGAUAUGGCAAAUAAAAUAUAGGAUUCCCAGGUAAAUUCAAAUUUGAGAUAAACAGCAGAUCAUUUCUUAGUAUAAGCAUGUCCUGCAUGUAAAAGAUUGUUUUCUGUUUAUGUGAGAUUCACAUAGAACUAGACUGGACUAGGGCCGGGGAUUUAGCUCAGUGGUUUCGCUUCCAUGCAGCACAAGUGCAAGGACCCAAGUUCGAUCCCCAGUAUCAAAAAAAGAACUAGACUGGACUGAUUUAGGUCCACUUCAAUGUGGUUGUUUUGGUGGUUUCAUCCUAAAUUUCCUGCCCACCUGGUCACUAAACUAAACUUCAGGCUGACUCUUUCUGUCAAAUGGGCUGUGGUAUCAGAAACAGCAAUUUGCCAUUCUUGUUGGCUGACCAUGUAUGUGGUGGGAAUAUAGAAAGGCUCAUCUCAUCGUGGUGUGCAGCUGGCACUCAAAUCCUGUACUGUUAAGAAGUUUAGUGGAAGAGAGUGACCUCUAUUUAUGGUAGCACCUUGGUCACAGCACAUCCUGUUGCUGGCACACUGAGGAGGGGCAGCAUUGACGCUGGGCUUGGGGAAUGUGGGGUAGCUGGGUUCCCAUGGUGUCUGUCACUCUUGAGUCACUGAAGUGUGAUCAGUGGGGCUUCCCUGUUUCUGGCCUCCCACUCACCAGCCUGUGUGCAUAAAGCUAUUAUUCCUCUGCUAUCUUUCCUUUCAAAUCGCUCCAAAUCCCAGCAAAUAAACUGUGUGUCAGCCCAGAGCAUUUGCUUCUUCUUGUGCUGGCUCUGUCACCUCUUUCAGUUUUGAUAACAUCUGUGAAGGAUAAAAUUCAUACUCAAAGCAUCCUUAGAGUUUCUCUCUCAUUCCCUCUGAUCUGUAGCUCCCUGCAGCUCAGGGAAUUACACCCUACUGUCCAUGUUUUCAAUCUGUUAGGCAGGAGUUUUCUUCUGAAAGCCCGACUCCAAUAAGAGACUGUGUAUAUUUAAAGACCUUAAUUAAGGGUUAUCAGUCAGAAUAUCCAUUACAAGUCUGAGCUUUGAAGCUUAGGACUUAGACUCUUUAGUUUUCAACAUGUUUUGAAAUGUGACAUUUGGAUAUAUGGCCCAUGAAGAUUCUUCCUUGCAAAAAAGAGGGGGUUCACAUUAAGGUAGUAAAUAUAGGUGAAUUCCAAAUGUAGUUGAUAUGUAGACAUUGGAGAAAGAGGAACCCAUGCUUAAUGAAAACAGAAAGAAGAGUUAAUGGAGAGGAGAAGGAAGAGGAAGAGGAGAAGCAGGAGGAGGAAGACUCUGGCCAGCGAGGCUGUGUCUGCUCUUGGGGAAAGUGCAGCCAGGUUCAAAGAGGUGAAGUGCACCCCACAAACCUGAAAAAUGACUUUCUUCUGCUUUCAUUCAUUCGCCUAUCACCUAUGUGCCUUUAAUUUGAAAAAUUGCAAAAACAUAGGAAAUCACAAAGACAGCAUAACUCCAUUUGUUUAUUUAACAGACUUAUUGAGAAAAACAUAGAUUCCCAUUUAAUUCCAUUAGGCAUUAGGGUGCAUAAUUCCUAUAAUUCCGAGGUAAUAUAGAACAACUCAUGCUGUAAAUUUAGCUUUUAUUAAGCUAAUUAUCUUAAAAUGAAAUGAACCUACGUCUGACUGUGAUGUUUACCUGGGGAAGUGUUUAUUGAAACUACUGCUAGUGAUUAAUUUCUGAUUUAAGCUAGAAGUUUUGGUGGUUUAUUUCAGUUUCAGCUGGAAGUGACUGCUUACUUCUGCGGUCUACCUCUGCUGUGGACACUGGCUGCUUGUGUGUUCCCCUGAGGUCCCCCUCUCUCCUUCCUUCAUCAGCUCUAGGCUUUGUGAGGAGAGGAAAAUGUGCAGAGUGCUGGUGGGUCUUUUUAUUUUUCUUCCUCUGUGCUCCUUAAUCAUGAUAUAGCAAUUUGACUGGAUUAAGUCACCUAGCAGAUUAAUAAAACAUACUUUGGGGUGUGUGUGGGGUGUUUCCAGAGAUGAUUGGCAUGUAGGCCAACAAAUUGAGGGAGAAGACCAAACCUGAUUGUAGGCAGCACCAUCCAAUAGGCUUGCAUCCUGGAUAGAAUGAAAGGGGAAGAAGGAGGAAGUCAGCCUGUGUUGGAAAAGCUCCAUUCUGCUUGACGGGGCAUCUUCUGCUACUUGUUUCACCUGUAGACUCCAGCGUCCUCAGCCUUUCUCUGCAUAUUUACACGGAGACUCUCCAGGGAGCUUCCAGGGCUUCAGUCUCAGACUGCUGCCGCCUCCUCAAUCCCUCUCAUUCUUCAGCCUCCAGCUUCUUGGGUUGAGCAGCUACUAGAUUGCUCUUCAAUGAAUAGAUAGCCAUUGUAUAGUCUCUCAACUCUGAUUCUUUAAGCCUACCUAAUCAAUGUCCUUGCUUAAUUAUAUAUAUAAAGUGUUGACUUUGUUCCUCUAGUGAACACUAACACAACCUUCUAGAAUGCUGAUGGUAAGGAAUAGAGCAUCUUAUUUUCUUACUUUAUUAAAGUGUAAUGCACAAUUUGGUAUCAGUCACCUCAUUGAAGUCAUUUUGAUGUGGGAAUCUAUUUAAUUGAACCUAUUUAAUUCAAUAGUCACUGUGCUGGGAAUGGGGCAGAAGAAAUGAGUUCAUGGUAAUCUAACAGCAUGGAUCAACCUCUCAGGUGUCAUGCUGGUCAAAUGCAGAUAGACAUGAGGAAGUGUUCUGCCUCAGUCCAUUUAUAUGAAGUUUGGUGACAGCCAGCACUAAGCUGCCAUGUCAGGAGGAUGGGUGGUUGCCUAGGGUGUUAUGUCAGGAUGUGAUUGAAAGGGACAAAAGGAGCUUUCUGGGGAGACAGAAAUGUUCUAUAUAUUGAUGAAAGUUGGGGUUACAUGAGUGUAAUUUAUGGGUGAGUAUUUUUAAAAUUCAUGGAACUGUACACUUAAAUGGUUGCAUCUUAAUGCAUAUAAACUAGAACUCAAUAAAUUAUUGCAUUAAGUUUUAAAAAACAUGAGUAAGAAUUUGUCACACACACACACACACACACACACACACACACACACAUGAGAACUACAUGCUGCCUGAGCCCAGGAGGGGACUGAAUGAUUAAUGCUGUGUGGAUUGGGGGAGUGGGAGGGGACUAGGAAAGCUACUGUUAAAUGUUAGAUGGGCAGUGCAGGAAAAGGCAAUUUAUUUUUUAUUUAUUUUAUUUUUUUAUUAAAUUCUUUUAUUGGUACAUUGUAGGUAUACAACACAAUUACAUUUCUCAUUGGGAAUUGUACUUUUACACACUGCAUCUUGGUUCUUAUUUUUCCCCCAUUCCUAGCCCUUCUUUCAUGCCCUCCACCCUUCCCUAUUUACAAAGACUUUAUUUCCAUUUUUUCCAUUUCUCAUCAUUUUUCCUUUCCCUUCUUUCCUUUCCCCUGCCCCUCCCACUACCCCUACACCUUUGGACCUUUUCUUCCUAUUUUACAUUAUCAAUUAUUCAUUCUAAUCAUUGGUACAUUUUAGGUAUACAAUAUAAUGACAUCCAUCAUUGGAAAUUUGCACCUUUACAUAGUCUCUCUUGGGUCUUAUUUUUCACCCUUGCCCAGCCCUCCCUUCAACCCCUCCAUUCCUCCCUAUUUACAAAGAUUUUGUUUCUAUUUUUCCAUUUUCUCAUAUUAAUCCCAUUCCCUUCUGUCCUUUCCUCUAGCCCUCCCACUUCCUUCCCCUUUGCCCCUUUUCUUCCUAUUUCACAUUACCAAUUAUACAUUUAGUCCUUAUUUACACUUUCAGUUUCUCACACCAGAGAAACUAUUCGGAAUUUAUUCAUGUGUGUCCUAUUUAUUUCACUUAAGAGUAUCGCCUCAAUGUGCAUCCACUUAGCUAUAAAUGUCUCUAAUUUCUCAUUUUUUGUGGCUGAGUAGUACUCCAUUUUAUAAAAACACCACAUUUUCUUUAUCCAGUCUCCAGUUGAUGGGCAUUUGGGCUGUUUCCAAGUUUUAGCUAUCACAAACUGUGCUGCUAUGAACAUGGGCGCACAUAUAUCACUGUGGUAUGAUUCUUUUAAUUCUUUGGGGAAGAUCCCCAGCAGUGGAAUAAUGGGGUCAAAUGGGACUUCCAGUCCUAGUUCUUUGAGGUAUCUCCAUACUGAUUUCCACAGUGCUUGCACCAGUCUACACUCCCACCGGCAGUGGAGCAGGGUUCCUCUUUCCCCACAGCCCUGCCAACAUUUGUUAUUGGUUGAUUUCAUGAUAGCAGCCAUUCUUUCUGGAGUGAAGUGGAAUCUCAGCAUUGUUUUCAUUUGCAUCUCUCGGAUGACCAGUGAUGUUGAGCAUUUUUUUCAUGUAUUUAUUUGCUAUUUCUACUUCUUUGUGUGAGAAAUGUCUGUUCAUUUCAGAUGCCCAUGUUUGGAUUGGGUCUUUAAAUUUGGGAGGUCUGAUCUUUUUAAGUUCUUUAUAGAUUCGAGAUAGUAGACUUUUGUCUGAGGAAGAGCAGGUGAAGAUUUUUUCCCACAUUGUGGGUUGUCUCUUCACACUGCUGGUGGUUUCUCUUGCUGUGCAGAAGCCUUUUAAUAAGAAGAGAUCCCACUUGUUGAUUGUUUGUGAUAGUUCAUGGGCAACUGAGGUUUUGUUCAUAAAAUCUUUUCCUACACUGAUGUCUUCAAGGGUUCUACCUAACCUCUGUUCCAACUGUUUCAGAGUUUCUAUUUUAAUAUUUAUAUCUUUAAUCCAUUUGGAUUUUAGUUUAGUGCAUGGUGAGAGAUACAGGUCUAGUUUCACUCUUUGGCAAGUUGAAGCCCAAUUUAGGAGAAGGCAGUUUAGAUGGAGGAACAGUCUCAGUCUACUCGAUUAUCAGACAUUUGGCCCAUAUCUACUCUUCCUGAAGAUAGAGACGCUAAUGGAGAAGGAACAGUCCUUGGCCAGAAGGAGCUCACUUUGUGGUGGAAAAUGACCAACAGAGGAUAAAGUGCAUGAAUAAAGGGAUGGAUGACUGAAACGCCAGUGGUUUAGGCACAGAGAGUGAUGCUUGUGACCAGGGGAUGGUGGGGGGGCCAAGUCUUGGCUGGGCUAAGAUGCCACCAUUCCACUCUAAAGCCAAAAGAGGAGGCAAUUUCAGCUUGGGGAGGAAUGGAGUUGUGGCAUGCUCAGAUCACAAUUCGUGACCUGGCUGUGUGGCUGGUUACAUCUGUGUCUUCUGUCACCAAGGGGCAGGCAAGAUUGAACAGAAGACAGGCACACCAUGACAAAUUGGUCAUCCAGCUGAGCCCAGUCUAUGUUAUCCUUUUGUUAAAUGUCUAGUGGAUGGAUAAACAAGAUGUGCCAUAGCCAUACAAUGGAAUAUUAUUCAACUAAUACAAUAAAAAGAUACAUGCUACAAAAUGGAUGAACUUCAACAACACUAAGUGAAGUGAAAGGAGCCAGUCACAAAUGACCAUGUAUUGUGUAAUUCCAUUUAUAUGAAAUAUCCAGAAUAGGCAAAUACAUAGGACAGAUAGUAGAUUAGUGGUUGCCUUGAGUGGGUGUUGACUACUAAUGGGUACAAAUUUUCUUGCUGAGAUGAUGCAAGUGUUCUAAAAUUAGAUUGUGGUGAUGGUCAAACAACUCUUUAUUGUACUCUUUAAGUAAGUGAAUGAUAAUCUAAACUGCAUUUCAAUAAAGGUG
ensembl:lncRNA